UGCAGUCGAGCGGACCUCUUCGGAGGUCAGCGGCGGACGGGUGAGUAACACGUGGGCAACCUGCCUGUAAGACUGGGAUAACUCCGGGAAACCGGAGCUAAUACCGGAUAUUAUUUCAAACCGCAUGGUUUGACAUUCAAAGACGGUUUCGGCUGUCACUUACAGAUGGGCCCGCGGCGCAUUAGCUAGUUGGUGAGGUAAUGGCUCACCAAGGCAACGAUGCGUAGCCGACCUGAGAGGGUGAUCGGCCACACUGGGACUGAGACACGGCCCAGACUCCUACGGGAGGCAGCAGUAGGGAAUCUUCCGCAAUGGACGAAAGUCUGACGGAGCAACGCCGCGUGAGUGAUGAAGGUUUUCGGAUCGUAAAACUCUGUUGUCAGGGAAGAACAAGUGCCGGAGUAACUGCCGGCACCUUGACGGUACCUGACCAGAAAGCCACGGCUAACUACGUGCCAGCAGCCGCGGUAAUACGUAGGUGGCAAGCGUUGUCCGGAAUUAUUGGGCGUAAAGCGCGCGCAGGCGGUUUCUUAAGUCUGAUGUGAAAGCCCCCGGCUCAACCGGGGAGGGUCAUUGGAAACUGGGAAACUUGAGUGCAGAAGAGGAGAGUGGAAUUCCACGUGUAGCGGUGAAAUGCGUAGAGAUGUGGAGGAACACCAGUGGCGAAGGCGACUCUCUGGUCUGUAACUGACGCUGAGGCGCGAAAGCGUGGGGAGCGAACAGGAUUAGAUACCCUGGUAGUCCACGCCGUAAACGAUGAGUGCUAAGUGUUAGAGGGUUUCCGCCCUUUAGUGCUGCAGCUAACGCAUUAAGCACUCCGCCUGGGGAGUACGGUCGCAAGACUGAAACUCAAAGGAAUUGACGGGGGCCCGCACAAGCGGUGGAGCAUGUGGUUUAAUUCGAAGCAACGCGAAGAACCUUACCAGGUCUUGACAUCCUUUGCCACUUCUAGAGAUAGAAGGUUCCCCUUCGGGGGACAAAGUGACAGGUGGUGCAUGGUUGUCGUCA
rnacentral:rRNA from 1 species